rnacentral:rRNA from 1 species
GACGAACGCUGGCGGCGUGCUUAACACAUGCAAGUCGAACGAAGAGCGAUGGAAGCUUGCUUCUAUCGCUCUUAGUGGCGAACGGGUGAGUAACGCGUAAUCAACCUGCCCUUCAGAGGGGGACAACAGUUGGAAACGACUGCUAAUACCGCAUACGAUCUAAUCUCGGCAUCGAGGAAAGAUGAAAGGUGGCCUCUAUUUAUAAGCUAUCACUGAAGGAGGGGAUUGCGUCUGAUUAGCUAGUUGGAGGGGUAACGGCCCACCAAGGCGAUGAUCAGUAGCCGGUCUGAGAGGAUGAACGGCCACAUUGGGACUGAGACACGGCCCAGACUCCUACGGGAGGCAGCAGUGGGGAAUCUUCCGCAAUGGACGAAAGUCUGACGGAGCAACGCCGCGUGAGUGAUGACGGCCUUCGGGUUGUAAAGCUCUGUUAAUCGGGACGAAAGGCCUUCUUGCGAAUAGUGAGAAGG